rnacentral:rRNA from 1 species
GCUACUAAGGCUGCCUGGUGGAUGCCUUGGCAUGAGAUGGCGAUGAAGGACGUGGGGUAGCUGCGAUAAGCUUCGGGGAGCUGCUAACCAAGCUUUGAUCCGGAGAUUUCCGAAUGGGGCAACCCGCUGGGGGUCAUACCUCAGUACCCAUGCUUGAAUGCAUAGAGUAUGGGAGCAAACCCAGGGAACUGAAACAUCUAAGUACCUGGAGGAAUAAAAAGCAACCGCGACUCCCUCAGUAGCGGCGAGCGAACGGGGAUCAGCCUAAACCUGAAUGCACCUAACGGUUCGUAUAGCCUAUGUGCAUCGGGAGUUGUGGGACGGUUCUGUCGGUGUACGAGCCGGCAAGGAGUUACAAAACGGGCGUCUAGCUGAAUCUUCUGGAAUGCUGAGCCAUAGAGGGUGAAAGACCCGUAGGCGAAAGGCGACCCGUCUCCUGAAUUGUUCCCGAGUAGCGCCAGCCACGAGAAACCUGGCGUGAAGCUGGGGGGACCACCCCCCAAGGCUAAGUACAAGCUCAUGACCGAUAGUGCACAAGUAGCGCGAGUGAAAGGUGAAAAGAACCCCUUCUAGGGGAGUGAAAUAGAAUCUGAAACCAGGUAGUUACAUGCUGCAGGAGGGCGUCUAGGCACGGCUUGCCGUGCCCCGGCCUGACUGCGUGCCUUUUGUAUAAUGAUCCGGCGAGUUGCGGUCGUCAGCUAGGUUAAGCCCUUCCGGGGCGGAGCCGGAGCGAAAGCGAGUGCGAAAUGCGCGCUGCCGUAAGGCAGGUUGGCGGCUGCAGACGCGAAAACAGGUGAUCUAUCCAUGGGCAGACUGAAGCGUGGGUAAAUCCACGUGGAGGGUCGAACGGGUCGGUGUUGAAAAAUCGUCCGAAGACUUGUGGAUAGGAGUGAAAGUCUAAUCAAACCUGUAGAUAUCUCGUUCUCCCCGAAAUAGCUUUUGGGCUAGCCUCGGAUGAACUGUCGCGACGGGGGUAGAGAGACUGAAUCGACUUGGGGGGCCGCAAGCCUACCCUGUUGAACCAAACUCCGAAUACCGUUGUGAUCUACUCCGGGAGUAAGACUAUGAGGGACAAGCUUCAUAGUCCAGAGGGAAACAACCCAGAUCGUCGGCUAAGGUCCCCAAACUGUGCUAAGUGCUGAAGGAAGUGAUAUUGCAGAGACAGCCAGGAUGUUGGCUUAGAAGCAGCCACCAUUUAAAAAGUGCGUAAUAGCUUACUGGUCGAGCGAUGUCGCGCCGAAAAUGAACGGGACUCAAGCACGGUACCGAAGCCGCGAGAUUACGCGCCAUGGGUGUGCGUGAUCGGUAGGGGAGCGUUGCCCGCGCAUCGAAGCCUGACCGUGAGGACGGGUGGAGCGCGUGCAAGUGAUUAUGCCGGAACGAGUAGCGAGAAAAGAAGUGAGAAGCUUCUUCGCCGUAAGCCCAAGGUUUCCUGGGGCAGGCAAUUCCGCCCAGGGUUAGCCGGAACCUAAGGUGAGGCCGAAAGGCGUAAUCGAUGGCGAGCAGGUUAAUAUUCCUGCGCCACUUCACGGUGAUGUGAUGGAGGGACAGGGCUCUUAAGGUCUACCCACUGUUGGAAUAGUGGGAUCAAGCCCGAGGGUGGGUCGUAGGGAAAUCCGCGACCGUAAUCCCGGAGGUGAUGACGAGGCCAUUUGUGCUGAAGUGACUGUCGGAGCUCUCAAGAAAAUCUUCUAAGCGUUCGAGCCGUGGGGUGUCCGUACUGAAAACUGACACAGGUGGGCGAGGAGAGUAUCCUAAGGCGCUCGAGAGAACCUUCGUUAAGGAACUCGGCAAAUUUGCCCCGUAACUUCGGGAUAAGGGGUGCUCAAUCUGGUGAAGAGCUUCGCGCUCGGAGCUGGAAUGAGUCACAGUAAAUCGGCCCAUGGAACUGUUUAUCAAAAACACAGCUCUGUGCUAAGGCUUAAAGCCUACGUAUACAGUGCGACGCUUGCCCGCUGUCGGUAGGUUAAGGGGAAGGGUCAAAGGACUUCGGUCCUUGAAGCUCAUAACCGAAGCCCCGAUGAAGGGCGGCCGUAACUAUGACGGUCCUAAGGUAGCGAAAUUCCUUGUCGGGUAAGUU